ACGGUGAGUAACGCGUAUGCGACCUGCCCGUUGCAGGGGGAUAAUCGGGAGAAAUCCCGUCUAAUACCGCGUAACGCCGCGGGGCUGCAUGGCCCUGCGGCCAAAGGGAGCGAUUCCGGCAACGGAUGGGCAUGCGUGACAUUAGCUAGUUGGCGGGGCAACGGCCCACCAAGGCGACGAUGUCUAGGGGUUCUGAGAGGAAGGUCCCCCACACUGGUACUGAGACACGGACCAGACUCCUACGGAAGGCAGCAG
rnacentral:rRNA from 1 species